CUCUGUCCAUCCACAAGAUAAAAUUCAAUUAGAACAAAUUUCGAUUAACGUACAAGAAACAAGACUAACUCAGCUUCUUCUCUAGCAAUGGAAGGAACUAGUUUUCUCCGAGGGCAACCUCUAACAACAGUACCCUCCCUUCCCAGACAAAGGUUCCUUCUCCAAGGAUGGAAGAACAAUCGGAUUGUCAGGUUUUCUGGUUUGACGAAUCACUCCGAUUCUAUAAAGUCCAGGUCUUUCUUCGAUCUUAGCCUCAGAGCUUCAGACAAAGCUCCCAUAAAGGCAAGCUCUGCCGUAACAGAGGCAAACCCUACGAACUUAGUUUCAAAGGAACACGACCUUGUCUUUGUAGCUGGUGCUACGGGUAAAGUUGGUUCUAGAACUGUGAGAGAGUUACUGAAGCUCGGAUUUCGAGUUAAAGCUGGAGUUCGAAGCGCUCAGAGAGCAUCAAGUCUUGUGCAAAGUGUUAAGGAUAUGAACACAGAUGAAGGAACUCAACCUGUAGAAAAGCUUGAGAUUGUUGAAUGUGACUUGGAGAAGAAAGACUCAAUACAGCCUGCAUUGGGGAAUGCAUCUGUGGUUAUAUGCUGUAUAGGUGCUAGCGAGAAAGAAAUAUCCGAUAUCACCGGUCCUUACAGGAUUGAUUACUUGGCCACCAAAAACCUUGUUGAUGCUGCAACAUAUGCAAAAGUUAAUAACUUCAUGUUGGUGACAUCCUUGGGGACAAACAAAUUUGGAUUUCCCGCUGCCAUUCUCAAUCUAUUCUGGGGAGUUCUUUGCUGGAAGAGAAAAGCUGAAGAAGCCUUGAUUGCAAGUGGUCUCAACUACGCAAUAGUUAGGCCUGGAGGAAUGGAGAGACCAACUGAUGCAUACAAGGAGACUCAUAAUCUCACUCUUGCUCUAGAUGAUACAUUGUUUGGUGGUCAGGUCUCAAAUCUCCAGGUUGCAGAAUUGCUAGCUUGUAUGGCUAAGAACCCUCAACUUUCUUGCUCUAAGAUUGUGGAAGUGGUUGCUGAAACAACUGCACCAUUAACCCCUAUUGAAAAGCUUCUUGAAAAGAUUCCUUCCAAACGUCCUUAUGUGCCUCCACCAAAGGAAUCAGUUCCAGCCAAAGAGGUAACACCAGUUCCUGCUGAGCCUGUCAAGCAAGAAUCAGUUGCAGCCAAAGAGGUAACACCAGUCCUUACUGAGCCUGUCACUAAAGAACCAACAGCUCCCAAGGAGGAUAAAGCACCUGCAGAAGUGAAAGAUGUUAAGCCUAGGCCGCUGUCUCCUUAUGCCGCCUAUGAAGACUUGAAACCUCCAACAUCUCCUAUUCCGGCCACAGCACUUGGUGCCACCAAAGCUAAGGAGGUGGAUGCAACUCAGGUUCCGGAGGUGGAAGAAACUCAGGUUCCUGUUGAGGCUAAUGCAGUUCCACCACCAGAAAGUCUUGUUGAGACCAGUGUCCCAGUAGUAGAAGUGAAGCAAGUUGAGGAAAAGAAAGAGAGGCCUCUUUCUCCUUAUGCUAGCUAUGAGAAUCUAAAACCACCUUCAUCUCCCACUCCUAAAGCUUCUGGUAUCCAGAAGAGCGAUACUUUGGCGCCUGUUCCAACAGAUUCUGAUACUGGUGAAAGCUCAACAGUUGCAACAACUGUCACUGAGGAGGCAGAAGCACCACCAGCCAUACCAAAAAUGAGACCUCUUUCUCCUUAUGCAGCUUACGCAGACCUGAAACCACCAACCUCACCGACUCCUGCAUCAACUGGUCCCAAGAAAACAGCACCUGCAGAAGAAAUCUCAGAGGUACCUGGAGGCAAUGACGUGGUGGAAACAGUUGAUGGUAGUGUGAACACGACUGAAUCUGCUUCUGUGCCAGAGGCGGAAACCAUUAACAGUGUGACAGACACUUCCCUUACCCCAGAAGAAAGUGCAGCUGAUCAACCAAAGCCAAGGCCAUUGUCACCUUACACAAUGUAUGAGGACAUGAAGCCUCCAACAUCACCUCUUCCAUCUCCGGUCAUCAAUCAUUAGUUAUGUGUGAAAUGAUUUGCCCUUGAACCCUUGGAGCUUCUUCUUCUUUUUAGCUUCAGCUUCUUCUUUUUUUACAAAUGAGAGAAAGAUGGGGAAAUUCAGUUUUACAGGAUGCGGUAUUCUUCUUAGUCAUUUUUAUUUGGUCUAAACAUGCGAAUUCAUCGUCGAUUAAAUUUAAGAUAUGUAUUGUUUUCUUUUAAUUCAAUUGUAAUUUGAAAAAUUCAAUAAUAAAAAAAAUUAUUUUUAUCCGAAGACA